rnacentral:rRNA from 1 species
GAUGAACGCUAGCGAUAGGCCUAACACAUGCAAGUCGAGGGGCAUCACAUGGGGUAGCAAUACUUCUGGUGGCGACCGGCGCACGGGUGAGUAACACGUAUGCAACCUGCCUUCAACAAGGGCAUAACCCGUUGAAAGACGGACUAAUUCCCUAUGACACAGGGGUCCCGCAUGGGGAUAUUUGUUAAAGAUAUUAUCGGUUGAAGAUGGGCAUGCGUUCCAUUAGCUUGUUGGCGGGGUAACGGCCCACCAAGGCAACGAUGGAUAGGGGAACUGAGAGGUUUAUCCCCCACACUGGUACUGAGACACGGACCAG